UUCUUAUUCCCUUUAUUAUAAGUAAAAUCUGCUCAAUGAUAAUUAAAUAGCCGCAGAAUUUUAACUGUGCUAAGGUAGCAUAAUCAUUUACCUUUUAAUUGAAGGUUUGUAUGAAAGAUUUUACAUUUAAAUUAUUUUUUUAUUAAAUUUUCUCAAAAUUUUAUUAAAAAUAAAAAUAUUUUUAUUCAUAAAAAAGACGACAAGACCCUAUUGAACUUUACUUCAGUUAAGCUGGGGAAGCUAAUUAAAUAUUAUUUUAAUACUUUAAUUUAAAUAAAUUUCUGGAUACCCAAUUAGAACAAGUUACCAUAGGGAUAACAGCGUAAUAAUUUUUUAAAGUUCUUAUUUAAAAAAAAGUUUACGACCUCGAUGUUGAAUUAAAUUUACUUUAAAACGCAAUAGUAUUAAAAGUGGGUCUGUUCGACCUUUAAAUUUUUACAU
rnacentral:rRNA from 1 species